AAACGCCGGCUUUGCAUUUUAGUGUGGAUAGGAACCAUUUUGAAAACGAAGCUUUUCAAAAACGGCGAGGUUACGAGAAUUGUGAUAUUUCCCUGCCGGAGUUUUCUUCAAACACAAAUCCAAAACAGACCGGCGAUUGUCAGUUGCGUUUUCAAAUUUCUCCGGCGUAGUGUGGACGGAGCCGAAAUCGAACACACAAGACAGGUCACGUAGAGAGGGAGCCAAUGUUCCAACUUUUACAAUUUGCAGAAUAUAGAACUACCAAAAUCAUCACAAAUUAAAUAAACUGGUACUCCCAGCUGUUUUGUUGUACUGAAAAUAUAUUAUAGAAUUAAUAUUCUUCAGGGUCAAGAGCAGAUUUCAUCAUUGGUUAGUGUUAGUUUAGGCAGACGCUGCUGUAGUGCUUUAAAUUUAUUUGUUCUCAUGUAUGUAUCUGUCUUGUUUUUUUACAUGCACGGCAAUCGCCGGGAGGCGGUCCACAGUCCGCUCAUCCCAUCUCCCGCUGUGCUAAAGUAGAACCCAGUCUUCUGAGUCGACUCAGGAUCAAUUGUUCCUUUGUGGAGAAUUACACCUGGAACACAUUUUAGCUGUAUACCAUUCACUUAGCCUAGCGUUGGUACUGCGCAGUCAUAACCCUCUGUCCGUAAUCAAAGCUUUAUUGGAAGUGUCUUUAGAGUGAUCGUGGCAGUAAGGCGCAGUUCUGCACCAGGCCAUAUCCGAGUUGGCUUUUGCCUCUGUUUCAAAACGAGUCCUCAUGCAAUACGAUUCUUAUGAAAAUGAAUUUGAUUUGCGUGAAAAUGAACUUUCAGAACAAAUGCAUUUUCAUAGCAAUGGUUUCGCCCUAAUACUCGUUUUCACACAGAGGCAAAAGGCUACUCGGAAAUGACUUCUUUUUUCUUUAGUGGCAAAAGCAUCAGGUUAAAGGUCCCAUAAUGUUGACAUGGAAUGUAUGUGGGAUUAUUGCAUAUUUCAAUGUCUUGUUUGUUGCUUAAAUAGUAACUCGCCUUCACUAGUAUUUCAGUGGCACAGACAUUGGUGUCGUUGAUGAUCUUAAUUUAUUACCCCUAUUUAUUGCCUGUUUCCUUUUUGUAGCAGUCAACAGCUGAUUCCUCACAAACAUGGACGAGCUGCUUGUAACAAGACUAUCGGAUGUCUCCUGUGUAUUUAGAAGAUUACAGCCAAGGGUGUCAUAAAUAGAUGUCUCCAACAUGGAAUACAUUCUGUCAAAAUUCCCUUGUGAGAUUUGGUCCUUUGUGAGAAGAAGAGGAGAGCUAGACAAAGCCCAUCCCCCGUUUGCCAUAGACAUGAAAUUGGGUGUCCUGUGAGAGAAAGAGGAAAAACGGACCGCGUUUAGUCUUUGGUCUGUCACGCGACGUUUCAUGCACAACAUCCGCCUGACUUGGUCACGAAACUGACUGUGCCUGAAGCCAUAGAUCCAAGGGUUUGUCACGCAACUGAUGCUCAUGAGAAAGG